CAGCCGCAGUAUAAAAUAUCGCCAUCUAGCGGAUUUACUAUGCUGAACAGAGGGGAACGAAGUGCUUACAUAUGGCUACCAAAUUGGAUGUACUAACUAGGCGGCACAUACUAUUUUUAGAUACUGGGCUGUUCCUACUAUUUUAUUUAUUUAUGUUCAAGCUAAGUAUGUCAAAAAUGUAUAAGUAUUAUUUUAAUCACGGCAACACAUACCUAUCUAUAUUGUUUUAUAUUAAUGGAUAUAUACUCUCGUAUAUGUAUAUACAGUACGACCUCGCUCAACGCAACCCUCGUUACGCGCAACACCUCGAUAAUUGCAACACCCGAUUUCUUAACAUUGUAGAAACAGCUGUUCAGAAAAGUAUAAAAUGUAAAAAAGUACAGACCACAAUUUCUCAAUUUUUCAAAAAAUAAAUAAAGUAAAAUGAAAUCCUUGCUUUGAACACAGAACAA